AAUCUGCUUUGGUGAAAACUUGCUGCAUCUCGUCAUUUCAAUUUCCUGUGAACUUCUUUUGGGAUUCAAAAAAUUAUAACAUAAACAUGAGAAAAGUGGAAGAAAAGGGACUGACACACAUAUAUGUGUAAGGAAACAAGUCCAUGAAAUCCAUGUAGAUAAAAGAGAAGCAAGACUGGCAGACUAGCAGGCCUCAGGAACGUGGUAGCACAUAACAGCAGGAUGGCAUGAGGAAGCUUACAUUUCUGUUGUCCAUACAUAACCUGUUUGGUGGGUAAUUAAAGGAUUUUAAUCUCCAGCACAGCCAAUCUGGCACCUUUCAAAAACUCAAAUUGGCAGGAGCUGAAGAAGAAAAAGAAAGAGCACUCUUAAUUCUCAUUAAAAGAGAAAAAAAAAUUAUGUGGAAAAGGUAAAUAAGUCUUAUGAACAGUGUAUCAUUUGUUUUCUGUGACUGAAUCACCACUGAAAAAGAUAAAGCUCAGCCUAACGCACCAUCUCCAGUGACCCUUUUAAAAUCAGGACACUGAAGCUCAUUUCAAAAUGAGAUCCGAUUUUAACAACUGUUAGAAGAAAGAGGGCAUAGGAAUGAAGGAGUGAUCUGGAGGGUAUGCAAUCAUGAAGAUGAACCUUUCUGUGACGUGUUUGACUACCUGUGGAGCACCAUUCAUGCUUCUCCAAGCCCUAAAGUGAAUUCUUCAUGAUGCAGAGGCCUUUCCAGACUGACAGAAAGGCAAGAGAAGUCAUCAUGUUAACCACAGUUAUGUGUAUAAUCUUCUGCCUUCCCCAACACCUGCAGCUCUGCUAAAAAUCUGCUUCUUAAGUAAUUUAUUUCCAUGAGGGGAAAUGAUGAGAGAGCCUAAUCAGUGCUGUACAUCCCUGAAAAUCAAAAGAUAAAUCUGGAAAAAAUCAAAUAAAGAAAUGACC